rnacentral:rRNA from 1 species
AACGAACGUUAGCGGCGCGCCUAACACAUGCAAGUCGCACGAGAAGGGGCUUCGGCCCCGGUAAAGUGGCGCACGGGUGAGUAACACGUAGGUAAUCUUCCCUCGAGUGGUGGAUAACCCUCCGAAAGGAGAGCUAAUACAGCAUGAGACCACGGUGUCUUCGGACGCUGAGGUCAAAGCAGGCCUCUACAUGUAAGCUUGCGCUCGAGGAUGAGCCUGCGGCCCAUCAGCUAGUUGGUGAGGUAACGGCCCACCAAGGCUAAGACGGGUAGCUGGUCUGAGAGGAUGAACAGCCACACUGGAACUGACACACGGUCCAGACUCCUACGGGAGGCAGCAGUGGGGAAUCUUGCGCAAUGGACGAAAGUCUGACGCAGCGACGCCGCGUGAGCGAUGAAGGCCUUCGGUUGUAAGCUCUGUGGGAGAGAAGAAUAAGGAUACGCUAACACCGUAUUCGUACGACGGUAGUCUCCUUAGCAAGCACCGGACCG